rnacentral:rRNA from 1 species
CUUUUGCGCCAAAGACGGGCUUUUCAUUCAACAUCGAGGUCAUCAACUCACUUGUCAAUUCGGUCUUUNAAAGUGAAUNCAGCUGUUAUCCCUCAAGUCACUUCUUCUUCCUUUNAAAAUUUUAGCUCUGUAAAACUUNUUAAGUCUUUUGAAUUCAAGCAAAGUUAUUUUCUCCUCCCGCCCCAGCAAAAUAUUUAUUUUCCUUCUCUGAAAGUAGUAAAUAUAAAGUUUUAUAGGGUCUUCUUGUCUUUAAGAGUUAUUUUAGCCUUCUUACUAAAAAGUCAACUUCACUUUUUAUCCCAAAAAAGUCUAUUCCGGUUUACCCCUUCAUUCCAG